rnacentral:rRNA from 1 species
GAAUAACAAAACCUCCGAGUGAUUUUAACCAAGACUUACCCGUCAAGGUUACAUAACUUAUUGAUCCAAUCACAUUGAUCAACGAAACAAGUUACCCUAGGGAUAACAGCGCAAUCCUAUUUGAGAGUUCAUAUCGACAAUAGGGUUUACGACCUCGAUGUUGGAUCAGGACACCCAAAUGGUGCAGCAGCUAUUAAAGGUUCGUUUGUUCAACGAUUAAAGUCCUACGUGAUCUGAGUUCAGACCGGAGAA